AUGAGACAGGUGUGGGAGGCCACUUGUUUGUGGAGAAGACUCAGAUCAGUGCGCCUCGACUUCCUUGUCAGCACAGAACCAAGCUUGAAACAUGCACUUUUAAAUCAAUACCAGAAAAGAACAACGAAAAUAGUGGCUUGCUUUGUUGGCCCUUCCUUUGUACUGGGCUCUGUGCAGGGCAUGUCACCUGAGCUGUCACUGUGUUUAGUACCAGCCCCCCCCUUAAUAGGUGUGGACGUCUUCCUGAACAGCCUGAAGCAGACGGUGGUGACCCUGGCAAGCAGCACAGACGUGCUGAGCACCGUGCAGUCGGCCUCCCAGGCCAUGCUGCAGAGCGGCUGGUCCAUGCUGUUGCCCACCGCCGAGAAGCAGGCCCGGGCACUCUCUGCUCUCCUGCCCUGCGGAGUUUCAGGCAAUGAAGUGAACAUAAGUCGAGGUCGUCGAUUCGUGAUUGAUCUUCUGGUGGGCAGCUUGAUGGCUGCUGGAGGGUUGGAGUCAGCCUUACACGCAGCCUUUACUGCAGAGAUCCAGGAUAUUGAAGCCAAAAAAGAAGCACAGAAGGAAAAAGAAAUUGAUGAACAGGAAGCGAAUGCCUCAACAUUUCAUAGAAGGAGGACUCCAUUGGAUAAAGACCUUAUUAAUACGGGGAUCUGUGAGUCUUCUGGCAAACAGUGUUUGCCUCUGGUUCAGCUCAUACAACAGCUUCUUAGGUAAAUCAUAUUAGCUGUAUUGUAUUGUGUUUUAUUUAUUUACUUUUUUUU
rnacentral:lncRNA from 1 species